GUUAAUUCCCUUCAGGAUGAUACAAGCUCAGAUGGGAUCCUAGAGUUGGAACCCAUGAAUUCAUAUAAUCGGCUUCUCCUGCAUCGUCUUGCAGAUACAUUUGGAUUUGCUCAUGAAUCGGUCGGUGAAGGAGAUGAUCGGCAUUUGGUUUUGGAACGAUGCUCAGAGACAUCAAUACCUUCCAUUCUUGUUAGUGAUCUAUAAUGGCAGUGUGAUGAGCCUCAGUCUCUCACAACAUCACGACAUUUAUUAGUGAGAGAAGAA